rnacentral:lncRNA from 1 species
GGAACACUCAACAGGUACAGCGUGACAGGAGCAGGCGCACAAAGGUGGGGCCGCCCCCAGGGCCAGACACACUUUUUCUGAAAUAAGGCCCUUAGCGGAAUAGAAAGGCAGGUCCAGCAAGCAGACACACAGCGACUGAAGCAGAAAACCAGGCAAAGGAGCUGAAGGGAUGCCAGUAAUGAUAAUAAAACCUCCACGUUUCCGCCACCCAACUUAGAAAACAGACCCGUGCCAGUCCUUUUGAGGCCCACCGCAGCCUGCACCACGACCUCCUCCAGAAGAACCACUUUCCUGGAUUUUGUUCUAAUGAUGCUAAUCAGCUCCUCGAUUUUCUGUUAGUUUUACACCUUUGUAUGAAUCCCUAAUAUAUCGUUUAGUUUUGAUUUUUUUUAACGGUGCAAAUGGAAUCACUCUCUAAUUAUGUGACUUCCUUUCUUCACACAGCAUUAUGUUUUUUUAAAAAUCCAUUUCUAUUGCCUGUGUACCUAUAACUUAUUUCACUAUUGAAUAGCAUUCCAUUUUAGGAGUCUACUACUAGCUAUUUAUCCGUUCCCCUGCUAUUGCAUGUUAUUUCUAGGAUUUUUUUAUUUUUUGCUAUUACAAAGCCGGGGCAUUAAAUAUUCUUGUAAAUAUCUUAAUGUUAAUUGUAGAGUUGAGAAACUGACGCUGAGAUUCAGGAAGGUGAGGUCUCUUGCCCAGGGUCCCGGCGCUGGUAGAGCUGGAAUUCACACCUUCCUCAGGGUGUCCCUCUCCACAUCUACAUCUGCUUCUUCCGGGAGGCCACCGAAGUCCCCAGGGAGGAGGGAGCAUGUAUUUCUAGUCGGUCUCAAAGCUGUUCCUGUGAGCUUGCCCAACCCCACCUAGCCAAGUCCCUGCUUUGUUGCUUGGUCACCAUUAAAGACCCCAAAGGGUUCCCUCUUCUGUAGCCCCCAGGCACAGCAACCCCAGGGGCUGGCCACCGAGGAGAGGGGAAAACAAGCCCCCUCCCUGUGCC